rnacentral:lncRNA from 1 species
GUUCGUUUCUGUGUGUGUGUUGCAUUUUAACGUUGAGUCGUUUGUGUUUUCUCUUAUUUUUGAGAUAUUGAGAUCAGACGUGGCACGGUACUUGUCUAUCCCAAAUUCAUGUAUUUGGUUUUCAUGUUAUAUUUGUUAUUCUCGUGGUGUUUUGUCUGAUGCUUGGUCCGUUUCUGUGUGUGUUACGUUUCGGUGUGAUGUCGUUGUUCUCCUCUUAUAUUUAAUGCGUUUCCCUCGGUUUUAGUUUGUUACCCCGAUUUUGUUUUUUGUCCCUGGAUUUAUGAGUUUUGAACAGCGGUAUACUACUGUUGCCUUUAUUUCUUACA